UCAGAUUCUGAUGACUUAUAAUAUAUAAAUCUGGUGACUUUCCGCUGGACAGGUCUUGCUUCAAUUUUGACAGAAAAAUUCAGAAAUUAUUUCUUUCUUUCAGCCCGUGAACUUGCCUCUUUCUUUCUCUUCGAGAAUUCCUAAUUUCUUGGUGAUUUAGGGUUCUUAUGUUGAAGAUAUUAUUGGAGAUUACUCUUGUUUUGUGAUCGGCAGUUAGAGAAGAAAAUUUCAGAGACUUUAUUCUUGGUUUUUUGGCAAAAAGAUGUGAGAUAUUCUCGAGGGUUUGAAGUUGCCUGUCUCUUCUUCUCUGAGUGUUAACUCUCUAUUAUUCUUGGGUGAUUCAUUUAACUAGAAGCAAGAUUUGGGAUAUUGUUCUUGUUGUUGAGACCGUAUUCGGGUUCUCGUCGUUCUCUAUGUGAGAACUUCAUUUUCUUCAUGAAAAGGGUUUUUUUCUUGAGGGUUCUGGUGAUAAAUGUUGAGAGUUACCGUGGUUAAAUGUGUGCCGAGUCUUGUAUGAACCUGUGUGGUUCAAGAAAGGGUAGUUUGGAGGGUAAAAUCUAUGUUGGUUGAUCUUUGUGAUCUCAGUUAGUUCCUGUGUGGAAUAGUGGUUGUCUUGUGUAGUUCUAGAAAAGAUAAGUUCUAUAUUUGGUUCUUUGUAAAUUUUUGGAACACUGUUGUAUUUUUGUUGCCUGAUUUUUGGGGCUUUAUAGUGCAACCGAGCUUUAUCUAUUUUAAUGGAUGCUCAACAGGGGAAUAGGCAUUAGAAGUGGUCGCCGAACCUCCGGGGUUUCGGCCGAAAAAAUCUUGUGUUCAUUUACAAUUUCUGCACUUUAUUUUAUUGUUUGUUGUGUUUGUUUGAAUCUUGAUUAAUUUUUGGGCGCUCCUCGACUUUUC
rnacentral:lncRNA from 1 species